rnacentral:rRNA from 1 species
GACGAACGCUGGCGGCGUGCUUAACACAUGCAAGUCGAACGGAAAGGCCCUGCUUUUGUGGGGUGCUCGAUUGGCGAACGGGUGAGUAACACGUGUGUAACCUGCCCUUGUCUUUGGGAUAACAUCAGGAAACUGGGGCUACUAUCGUAUAGGAUCUCCUGCUGCAUGGUGGGGGUUGGAAAGUUUCGGCGGUUGGGGAUGGACUCGCGGCUUAUCAGCUUGUUGGUGGGGUAGUGGCUUACCAAGGCUUUGACGGGUAGCCGGCCUGGGAGGGUGACCGGCCACAUUGGGACUGAGAUACGGACCAGACUCCUACGGGAGGCAGCAGUGGGGAAUAUUGCACAAUGGGCGGAAGCCUGAUGCAGCAACGCCGCGUGCGGGAUGACGGCCUUCGGGUUGUAAACCGCUGUCGCCUGUGACGAAGCGUGAGUGACGGUAAUGGGUAAAGAAGCACCGGCUAACUACGUG